UCCGGGGUGGGGUAACCGGCGAGCCCGCGAGGUUUUGGUCCUCGAGGAGGGAGUUCAAGUCUUCCCCCCGGAA
rnacentral:tRNA from 1 species